AUACAGCUAGAAGAGGUCGAGUCCAGGAUGGCAGAUGUCCUCGAGGAAUCCAUGGACCUGGCGAACGUCGUUGGAAUGUCAAGAGGUGUCGAGGUGAUCUGGGACCCUUGCGACUUCUCCGUGCUCCGGUGCACCGCUACCGUCGGUGACUGUAAGCGUGUCAAGCAGAUCCUCGACAACCUUCUCGGCAACGCCAUCAAGUUCACGCACGAAGGCCAUGUCAUGCUCCGGGCGUGGGCCAACCGCCCCGUCAUAAGGGGCUCCAUGACCAGCACCCCGUCGAGGUUUGCGCCCCGCCGUCGUGCCGCUAGGGUCUUCGGUCGGCUGCUUCGAAGGAGUGAGAAUUGUGCCGAACAGAAUGGCGGCUUGUCCUUGAAAAUUGAUCCCGAUUCGGUUGAGUUUUAUUUUGAGGUUGUUGACACUGGUGUGGGGAUACCCGAAGAGAGGAGGGAGUCUGUGUUUGACAACUACGUUCAAGUGAAGGCUGGGCAUGGUGGCACCGGGCUUGGACUUGGAAUUGUGCAAUCAUUUGUUCGUCUGAUGGGAGGGGAGAUAAGCAUCAAGGACAAGGAGCCAGGAGAAGCGGGAACGUGCUUUGGCUUCAACAUGUUCCUGAAGGCCAGCGAGAGUCCACAGGUUGAAGACAACCUCAAGGAA
rnacentral:rRNA from 1 species